UACGGGGGGGGCAAGCGUUGUUCGGAAUUACUGGGCGUAAAGGGCUCGUAGGCGGCCAACUAAGUCAGACGUGAAAUCCCUCGGCUUAACCUGGGAACUGCGUCUGAUACUGGAAGGCUUGAGUGCGGGAGAGGGAUGUGGAAUUCCAGGUGUAGCGGUGAAAUGCGUAGAUAUCUGGAGGAACACCGGUGGCGAAGGCGGCAUCCUGGACCGACACUGACGCUGAGGCGCGAAAGCUAGGGUAGCAAACGGG
rnacentral:rRNA from 1 species